UAGAAAACGACUCUCGGCAACGGAUAUCUCGGCUCUCGCAUCGAUGAAGAACGUAGCGAAAUGCGAUACAUGGUGUGAAUUGCAGAAUCCCGUGAACCAUCGAGUCUUUGAACGCAAGUUGCGCCCGAAGCCGUCAGGUCGAGGGCACGUCUGCCUGGGCGUCACACACC
rnacentral:rRNA from 1 species